CCCUUAGAUGUUCUGGGCUGCACGCGCGCUACACUGAAGCGUUCAACGAGUAUUCACCUUGCCCGGGAGGGUUGGGUAAUCUUUUGAAAACGCUUCGUGAUGGGGAUAGAUUAUUGCAAUUAUUAAUCUUCAACGAGGAAUUCCUAGUAAGCGCAAGUCAGCAGCUUGCGUUGAUUACGUCCCUGCCCUUUGUACACACCGCCCGUCGCUACUACCGAUUGAAUGGUUUAGUGAGAUGUUUGGACCGGAACUCUCUUGCUCAGCAAUGGGCGAGAGAGAGUCUGGGAAGUCCCUCUAACUGUAUCAUUUAGAGGAAGUAAAAGUCGUAACA
rnacentral:rRNA from 1 species